UGUAACAUAUCUUGAACAUAUCUGCUGGAAGAAGCGGAUCAAGAAGGAAGACAAGGUUGUUGUUAUUUUCUAAUCCCCAGAGGAAGCACCAUAAUUAAGCGUGUGAGCUACUUGUCGUCGUCCAACCCCCGGAGAAAGCACCGCUAUCAAAGAUAAUCUCCAUCUUCACUUCUAGCUGAAAAUGAAAAGAAAUUCACUCUUCUCUAUCUCGCAAUUAGAGCUAGGAACGUCAGAGCUUCAAGAUCGAUGAGUGUUCUCUAAGCAGACGACAUAAAAGAUCUUACUUCAGGCAUUUUCCUCUAGAUAUGUCGUUGUCAAUCUCGAAGGUUGAAUCCAUAAAAGAUUGAUUCUCAGGGCUUGCUGAUUGGUCGGUAUCAUGAGUUGGUAAUAUUGCUCCAAAGGAUUUUGUAACCCACUCCUUUGAAGUCAUGUUCCUGUCAUCUUUAUCUUUUUGAUUAGCUUCUACAUCAAUUGUCUUUUCGACUUUACCAUUUGUUACCAUUGCUUGUAUCUCCUCUUCUUGAUUAAGUGCUUGAAAUUUGUUCGCCACAUUAAUGGGGAGUGUGUUGUCCCGAUUGACUAGUUUGCGAUUGUCUCGCACAACAUUCCACUUCCCUGGAUCCCCCACUAUUUUGUCACUGGAAAGGACCCUAGCUUUUCCUUUCUGAAAUGUAUGCACCUGUUGCUUCUGCGUUUCUUGCGAAUGGUCCGGUUCCGAUGGCUUUUCUAUACUUUUUACUUGAUUAAUCUUCCUACAAUUGUGCCUGUCAUGACCUUGCA